GUAUAAGAGACAGCAGUAGCCGCGGUAAUACAGAGGGUGCGAGCGUUAAUCGGAUUUACUGGGCGUAAAGCGUGCGUAGGCGGCUUCUUAAGUCGGAUGUGAAAUCCCUGAGCUUAACUUAGGAAUUGCAUUCGAUACUGGGAAGCUAGAGUAUGGGAGAGGAUGGUAGAAUUCCAGGUGUAGCGGUGAAAUGCGUAGAGAUCUGGAGGAAUACCGAUGGCGAAGGCAGCCAUCUGGCCUAAUACUGACGCUGAGGUACGAAAGCAUGGGGAGCAAACAGGAUUAGAUACCCCAGUAGUCCCUGUCUCUUAUAC
rnacentral:rRNA from 1 species